GACGAACGCUGGCGGCGUGCCUAAUACAUGCAAGCCGAGCGCAGGAAACUGACGGAACUCUUCGGAGGGAAGGCAGUGGAAUGAGCGGCGGACGGGUGAGUAACACGUAAGGAACCUGCCUCAAGGAUUGGGAUAACUCCGAGAAAUCGGAGCUAAUACCGGAUAGUUCAACGGACCGCAUGGUCCGCUGAUGAAAGGCGCUCCGGCGUCACCUUGAGAUGGCCUUGCGGUGCAUUAGCUAGUUGGUGGGGUAACGGCCCACCAAGGCGACGAUGCAUAGCCGACCUGAGAGGGUGAUCGGCCACACUGGGACUGAGACACGGCCCAGACUCCUACGGGAGGCAGCAGUAGGGAAUCUUCCACAAUGGACGAAAGUCUGAUGGAGCAACGCCGCGUGAGUGAUGAAGGUUUUCGGAUCGUAAAACUCUGUUGUAAGGGAAGAACACGUACGAGAGGAAAUGCUCGUACCUUGACGGUACCUUACGAGAAAGCCACGGCUAACUACGUGCCAGCCGCCGCUGUAAGAC
rnacentral:rRNA from 1 species